UUUAAUUUAACUUGAGAACCUUGUCUUUUAUAUUUAUAUGGAUAAAUUUUUUUUAAAAUGAGUGAAAUUCAAAGUCUUGUUGAAAAGCUAAAAUUGGGCCCUCUGACUUUAAUUUCUGGAUCUGCCACUGUGGAGUGAUCUCAAUUUUUUUUCCCUGUUGUUUGGAAGUAUGCUUGUUUCUUUCCGUAAACUAGGGAUACUUCAUAGCUGGAAAGAAAUGAAAUUUUAUUGAAAAUACCAAGUCAUAGGAAGCAAAGGUUGAUUAUGAACUCCAUGAUAGUUAACUAAAAUGUUGGAGAUGCAUGCAUGUGUUCACACACUCGUACACGUAUAUACACGAACAUGAACAUCUAUGUUUAUAUAUGCAUGCAAACAUCUAUCUAUAAUGUUCUGAUACUUGGAAGUUGGAAUGUGAUAAAGUAUUCUAGCUUUAUGUUAUUCCUGUGACAUUUGCUUUGCUGAGAUUGAAGAUUAUCCAUUUACUUCCAUGAUAGAAUGACUGUAUCUUCAUAUCUAUUUCUUGAUGUUCAGCUUUAAUCUGGAGUCUGGACUCUCUUUUUAUUUUUUAUUUUUUAUAUUUUUUUGGGAGGGGGGGGGAGUGAUGGUUUAUGUAGAUUCUCUGGUUCUACAGUUAUAUAUUAUGCUUAACCUCUACUUUUAUAGGCACCAACAUGAAUUUGAAUUGGAGUCGCAAUUGCGACCAUAGGUAAUGGAAAUAGGUUUGUAACAUACUAACAUCCAUGACUGCGGCCUAUUCCUGACUAUGCAAUUUUUUUUUUAGAAAUAUUGAUGUGGACUUGCUGUCUAACUGGGGGUGAAUGGUAAAAAAAGAUUCAUAUAGUCAACCUAACUGUAGAGAUUAAAGUUUAGUAAUUGUUGUUGCAAAGUUCAUGAAAUGAAUAUAUAUUUAAAGAUAUAAGUUGAAAUCAAAUAAAGAUAUUUGCUUGCAUAAAAUAUAGACAAAGACUAAUAGUUCACCCUUUGCAAAAUAUGGAUGUAGAUAGCUAUGUUUCACUUAUACUAAACUUUCAUUAAUUGGUGAUUUUAGCUUAAGAAGUGAAAGGUUUGUAAAAAUGAUGAAAAUAGCUGGGAAGUUGAGAGAGUGAGGAACAGUAGAGGAAACCCCCAGAAACGAAGUAUUAAAUGAGCUUCCUGCCCCCUUCUGAAAAGGAAAAAAAAAGGAAAGAAAGAAUGAAUCCCAUGAGUGGUGGCUGUUGCAGGUUUGGACCUGCUUGUUU
rnacentral:lncRNA from 1 species